CAUGAAGCUUCAGAAAGUAUUAUCAAGAGGAAACUUCACAGCGCCCAGUACAAAGAUGGAAGGGAUGAGCCGCUAAAAAAAGAAUAUAACCAGCAAGUGCUUUGGCUGCAGAGCUCUGGCAUGGGAAGCCAAGGGCCAGGAUUAUUUGAGGAUAUCAACAAGCAUGUGGACAAGGAUGACCCAGUGGAUGAUGUACUUGGACUUUGAGAAAGUACCUCACCAACGGCUCUUAAGCAAGGAAAAACAAAUUAUCAGUUCAGGCUAUAUUAUCACUGGAACACUAAAACAAUUGAAACUUUCAACUUUGUGAAACUUGACAGAGAAGCUGCUGCACAAGAUUACUGGGAGGUACAUGUUAUGAUCCACAAAAAUCAAGGCAAAAGCGGACAUUUGGCCCUUUACAAGAGGAGUGACUUCAUUAAUGAACAAAAUUUUGGCUUCAUCUUUGAACCUGCAUUUAACCCUUCACUAUUUUAGUGUCAGAUACUCUAAGCACUCUGGGUUAGUCUUUAACUCUCAUUAACCCUCUGUGUUGGCAGGACAUUGCGUUUGUGUGGAAUUAUAAGCUAUGAAGGAAGUGUUCCCAUUCUGGACAAGAUAGAGGCACCUGGAAGAUUACAUCUUGGUGUGUCCAGAGACACUGAGUUGAAUUUGACUUUCCUCCAGAUCUUGGAAGGAAGCCCAGAUAUUUUGAAGUUAAGGAACUUGAUAAGCUCAGAAUUCACCUGGACUUGACAAUUUUGGCUGCAUGAGCAGCUUCAGAAAGAAAAUAUAUUUGUAAGUCUAGAAGAUGAUUUCAAAGUGAUUUAAAAUUAUCUGGAGACUGUACAAAUCUGUACUUAAAUA